rnacentral:rRNA from 1 species
CCUACGGGAGGCAGCAGUGAGGAAUAUUGGUCAAUGGACGAGAGUCUGAACCAGCCAAGUAGCGUGAAGGAUGACUGCCCUAUGGGUUGUAAACUUCUUUUAUAUGGGAAUAAAACGUUCCACGUGUGGGAUUUUGUAUGUACCAUAUGAAUAAGGAUCGGCUAACUCCGUGCCAGCAGCCGCGGUAAUACGGAGGAUCCGAGCGUUAUCCGGAUUUAUUGGGUUUAAAGGGAGCGUAGGUGGAUUGUUAAGUCAUUUGUGAAAGUUUGCGGCUCAACCGUAAAAUUGCAGUUGAAACUGGCAGUCUUGAGUACAGUAGAGGUGGGCGGAAUUCGUGGUGUAGCGGUGAAAUGCUUAGAUAUCACGAAGAACUCCGAUUGCGAAGGCAGUUCACUGGACUGCAACUGACACUGAGGCUCGAAAGUGUGGGUAUCAAACAGGAUUAGAUACCCCUGUAGUC